rnacentral:ribozyme from 1 species
ACAAAUCUGGCUACACUCCACAGGAGGCAGAAUUUUACAACGAAGGCUUUCAUAUCCAUCCAUAUCCUACUUCUAUUCUAGACAACCACAGCGUAUAGAAUGAUGAUAUAACAAUACAAGUAUCUGAGCUUGAGUAUAUGGGGAAACCCAACACCUUGGGAGUUGUCCCUUGUGUCCUGACUUCCUGCG